UUUUAUUGGGUUUGAUUAGAAAUAACGGUGCCUAAGCUUGCACAUUUCUAACCACACAAAGUAAGAAGUGGGGAUAUUCAAGCUUUACGAAUAAAUCAAUAAAUUGUAUUAGCAGAAAAACUUUAAAUCUAGUAGGUUUUAAAUUACUCUAUCCCUUAAGAAGCUCUAAUGUUAGAUUCAGCUGCAGAUUUCCUUUUAUUCAUAGGCCCGGCCAGGCUCGUACUUUUCUUGUAUAAAAUACACAGAGGGUCUAAUACUUUUGUUAUUAAAACUUCACCCUACAGCAAUUCAGAACAACUCAAAGUCCAAGUGCAAAACACGGUCAAGGCGUUAUUUCAGUCUUAAACCCCAAACCCCUGGUGAUGCUUCUAAGAAAGCAGAGACGAGCAGAGAACGGCUGAGGCAGCCCCGAAGCGAAAACGUUUUGGUUCUAGAAGCCAUAAUGUGGAAACACGAACAAACACUUUGCAUCAGAUAUCUUAAAAGAGUUGUAAAGAAUCAUAAAAGACACUGUAUUUUGUCCUCCUAUGUUUUCUUAAGGCUGAUUUCAUGGUUGUAAACCGGGUUACAGCUAGUUGAACAGUAAUAAUUCUCAAUAACGUUUACAACUAUGUGCACAGCGCCAGUCAAGACAGAGCCGGGAAGGCUCCGAGCCCGGGUUCCAUGAAACCCUCACAGUCACCCCCCUUCCCUGCACCUAAACGUUGGUGCUUCCAGAAGCGGGGAAACUAAAAGGACAAAGGCACCGGUAGCCCCAGGGCGAGGGCAGCGGGUCCGUGACUGUCUCUGUGCUCAGUGAGAUACUGUUUAAUCCGGUGUCACCGCCGAGCCCCGCAAGACACGGUCCCGGGAACCGAAAACGGAGCUCAGCAGAGUUCUGCCGCCGCUGUCAAACGCCGCUUCACUGAGAGAAAAGCGGCACCGUCCCACCGGGGCAUCCGCACCGGCACCGUCCCACCGGGCACACGAUCGCUCCCGCACCGGCACCGUCCCACCGGGCACACGAUCGCUCCCGCACCGGCACCGUCCCACCGGCCACACGAUCGCUCCCGCACCGGCACCGUCCCACCGGCCACACGAUCGCUCCCGCACCGAGCCCGCGCCGGCAGCGCCCCAGCCCGCCCGGAGCCCGGCAGCCGCCC
rnacentral:lncRNA from 1 species